GCUUGGAUGGCUCAGCUGGUUAGAGCGCCGGUCUCAUACGUCACGUGUGAGUAAGCAUUGUGCUUACGCAAUCCGGAGAUCACGAGUUCGAUCCUCGUUCCGAGCA